ensembl:lncRNA
CUACGGAGCCCACCAAUGGCUGAGCAGGACCACUAAUAGUUGCACCCCCCCCCCAUCGUUGCCUGGUAACGGGGUUAGGGAGAGGGGGGGAAUGGCACGCAGCAACAACAAUGUGCUAAUAACUGCGCCUGGUCCUCAUUCUAUGAAGGUGAGAGAGUGCUGUGCUUUCAAGGCCCUCUUCUUUAUGAAAAAAAGCACAUCCUUUCGGGUCCAGCACCAAGAUUUCUCCUUCCUCACGAAUCCAAAAACCUCUGGAAUGUGUGGUGUAGAUGAAGUCGCCAACCAGCCGGUUCCUGCUAUGUGUCUGUCAGGAUGGGAUGGUCCAGAACUCACUCCAAGAUGCUGGACCAGAAGAAAUGAAACCUUAUGUACACCAAAGAUUCAUGAAGGCUUCUGGUGGCUUUAUUCACAAUAGCUCCAAACUGGAAGCAACCUGUCCAUUAACAUGAAAAUGGAUAUACAAACUGUGAUAUAGUCACACUGCCCAGCAAUAGAGUUACAAAUAAACAAUGCCUGUAGUCAUGUAUGGAUGUGAGAGUUGGG